rnacentral:rRNA from 1 species
UACGUAGGGUGCGAGCGUUGUCCGGAAUUACUGGGCGUAAAGAGCUCGUAGGUGGUUUGUCGCGUUGUUCGUGAAAACUCACAGCUCAACUGUGGGCGUGCGGGCGAUACGGGCAGACUGGAGUACUGCAGGGGAGACUGGAAUUCCUGGUGUAGCGGUGGAAUGCGCAGAUAUCAGGAAGAACACCCGUGGCGAAAGCGGCUCUCUGGAACGGUACUGACGCUGAGACGCGAAAGCGUGGGAGCGAACAGG